AAGUGAGAAGCAAAUAUUGCAAUCAGUUUCGACCUGAUCCUAGAUAAACUCUUUAUCCUUACUUU
rnacentral:tRNA from 1 species